GGCUAUGACGUUCGCCUCACACGCGAAAGAUCCCGAGUUCGAUCCUCGGUGCUCGUA
rnacentral:tRNA from 1 species